rnacentral:rRNA from 1 species
GAUCACAGGCGAAGAAGGACGUAAUAGCUUGCGAAAAGCUGCGGGGAGUUGGCAAAUGAGCAUUGAUCCGCAGAUAUCCGAAUGGGGAAACCCACCUCUUAGGAGGUAUCCUUAUCUGAAUACAUAGGGUGAGGAGGCGAACCGAGUGAACUGAAACAUCUAAGUAACUCGAGGAAAAGAAAUCAACCGAGAUUCUGAAAGUAGUGGCGAGCGAAAUUGGAGUAGCCGCAACGAGAUAGUAGUUGUAGUAGUCGAACGCAUUGGGAAGUGCGACCGUAGGGGGUGAUAGUCCUGUAGACGAAACUAUGAUUAUGGUACUAGGCGUUGCAACAAGUAGGGCGGGACACGUGUAAUCCUGUUCGAAUAUGGGGGGACCAUCCUCCAAGGCUAAAUACUCGUGAUCGACCGAUAGUGAACCAGUACCGUGAGGGAAAGGCGAAAAGAACCCCGGGAGGGGAGUGAAAUAGAACCUGAAACCGUGUGCAUACAAACAGUCGGAGCCGAGAGGUGACGGCGUACCUUUUGUAUAAUGGGUCAGCGACUUACAUUCAGUGGCAAGCUUAACCGAGUAGGGAAGGCGAAGCGAAAGCGAGUCCGAAUAGGGCGAAUAUAGUCGCUGGGUGUAGACCCGAAACCAGAUGAUCUAUCCAUGGCCAGGUUGAAGGUGCCGUAACAGGUACUGGAGGACCCAACCCACUAAUGUUGAAAAAUUAGGGGAUGAGCUGUGGAUAGGGGUGAAAGGCUAAACAAAUCUGGAAAUAGCUGGUUCUCUCCGAAAACUAUUUAGGUAGUGCCUCAUGAAUAACUGUUGGGGGUAGAGCACUGUUAUGGCUAGGGGGUCAUGGCGACUUACCAAACCAUGGCAAACUCCGAAUACUGACAAGUUUAAUCAUGGGAGACAGAGCACUGGGUGCUAACGUCCAGACUCAAGAGGGAAACAACCCAGACCGCCAGCUAAGGUCCCUAAAAUUGGCUAAGUGGGAAACGAAGUGGGAAGGCAUAGACAGUCAGGAGGUUGGCUUAGAAGCAGCCACCCUUUAAAGAAAGCGUAAUAGCUCACUGAUCGAGUCGUCCUGCGCGGAAGAUGUAACGGGGCUAAGCCAGUUACCGAAGCUGCGGAUGC